AUACGCAAAUCACCAUCAUGUACAAAGUCAACCAAAAUUCAUAAAUAAUUAAAUAAUUCAAUUUAAUUUUUUUUCCUACUACGCACCUCGUGAAAUCAUUAAUUUCACACUCCCGUCCACUAGAACCAAUAUUUCUAGUGCACCCCCACUUUUACUAAUUCACAACAUAAUAGAAAAUAUAAUUCUUUAAAGUACCCCUUCAACUUCUAAAUACACUCUCUUUCUUAAACCUACCAACUCAAGUGGUCCCUACAACUAUUUUUAACUUUAAAAACACACUUUAAUUUUCUCUCACCAAAUGGACCCCACUUAAAAUAUUCAUUUUUCACUAAAAAUUAUCUUACUCUCUCCUACUCUCCACUUUUGACUAACCAAACUUUCUCUCCCUUCCCUCUUUUGCUUUUAUUUCCGAUACAAAAAUUUCAUUCACUCAUCUUUUCUCACAUGGACCCCACUUCCCACUUUAUUUUACUUUUCAAACUAAACCAUUCCUUCCUCUCACCAAAGUCACGUAACCUCUCCCUAAACUCUGUUUUCCUUCCUCUCACCAAAGUCACGUAACCUCUCCCUAAACUCUAUUUUUUUUCUUCACUCUCCUAACCUCAUUUACGUAAACACACACACAAUUUUGUUCUCCUUCUCUUUACGAUAACCAACCCCAUGUACCCAACUUACCAAAGUCUCUAUCCAAAUUCCAUGCACACAACACUAAUAAAAUAAUAUGAUAUUCACACAUUCUCUUUCAUCAUUUAAUG
rnacentral:lncRNA from 1 species